rnacentral:rRNA from 1 species
GAGUUUGAUCUUGGCUCAGAUUGAACGCUGGCGGCAUGCCUUACACAUGCAAGUCGAACGGUAACGCGGGGCAACCUGGCGACGAGUGGCGAACGGGUGAGUAAUGCAUCGGAACGUGCCUGGUAGUGGGGGAUAACUGCUCGAAAGAGCAGCUAAUACCGCAUACGACCUGAGGGUGAAAGGGGGGAGUCGCAAGACCUCUCGCUAUCAGAGCGGCCGAUGUCGGAUUAGCUAGUUGGUGGGGUAAAGGCCCACCAAGGCAAUGAUCCGUAGCUGGUCUGAGAGGACGACCAGCCACACUGGGACUGAGACACGGCCCAGACUCCUACGGGAGGCAGCAGUGGGGAAUUUUGGACAAUGGACGCAAGUCUGAUCCAGCCAUGCCGCGUGCGGGAAGAAGGCCU